rnacentral:rRNA from 1 species
AUUGAACGCUGGCGGCAUGCCUUACACAUGCAAGUCGAACGGCAGCACGGGUGCUUGCACCUGGUGGCGAGUGGCGAACGGGUGAGUAAUACAUCGGAACAUGUCCUGUAGUGGGGGAUAGCCCGGCGAAAGCCGGAUUAAUACCGCAUACGAUCUACGGAUGAAAGCGGGGGACCUUCGGGCCUCGCGCUAUAGGGUUGGCCGAUGGCUGAUUAGCUAGUUGGUGGGGUAAAGGCCUACCAAGGCGACGAUCAGUAGCUGGUCUGAGAGGACGACCAGCCACACUGGGGCUGAGACACGGCCCAGACUCCUACGGGAGGCAGCAGUGGGGAAUUUUGGACAAUGGGCGAAAGCCUGAUCCAGCAAUGCCGCGUGUGUGAAGAAGGCCUUCGGGUUGUAAAGCACUUUUGUCCGGAAAGAAAUCCUUGGCCCUAAUACGGUCGGGGGAUGGCGGUACCGGAAGAAUAAGCACCGGCUAACUACGUG